AGAUUGAACGCUAGCGGGAUGCUUUACACAUGCAAGUCGAACGGCAGCGCGGACUUCGGUCUGGCGGCGAGUGGCGAACGGGUGAGUAAUAUAUCGGAACGUGCCCAGUAGCGGGGGAUAACUACGCGAAAGCGUGGCUAAUACCGCAUACGCCCUACGGGGGAAAGGGGGGAUCGCAAGACCUCUCACUAUUGGAGCGGCCGAUAUCAGAUUAGCUAGUUGGUGAGGUAAAGGCUCACCAAGGCGACGAUCUGUAGCUGGUUUGAGAGGACGACCGGCCACACUGGGACUGAGACACGGCCCAGACUCCUACGGGAGCAGCAGGUGGGAAUUUGGACAAGUGGGGAAACCUGAUCCAGCCAUCCCGCGUGUGCGAUGAAGGCCUUCGGGUUGUAAGGCUAUUUAGGCGAGGAAGAAACGCG
rnacentral:rRNA from 1 species